CUAAAUUGGUCUAACCUAGGUCGGUCGCAGACUUGAAGUAAAGCUUUCAAACUAUGAUUUGGUUCGAUAAGGGCUAUUAGCUCAGGUGGUUAGAGCGCACCCCUGAUAAGGGUGAGGUCCCUGGUUCGAGUCCAGGAUGGCCCACCUGAAGGAAUUCAAAAAUCAAAAGUCAAAAGUCAAAAUUAAAUAUUUUUGAAGCAUGACUAGAAAUUUUGAGUUCUUUUUGGGGGCUUAGCUCAGUUGGUAGAGCGCCUGCUUUGCAAGCAGGAUGUCAGCGGUUCGAGUCCGCUAACCUCCACAUUGGAAAAAAGACAGCACCUAAUUGGAAAAGUUAGACUGCUGGAUGAAAUUCCAGCCAGAACCUUGAAAACUGCAUAAGAGAACGAGAAAAAGCAGGCAGACACAGACAUUUAAAUGGAUGUGAAAGCAAAGAAAAAUUGUGGU
rnacentral:tRNA from 1 species